GAACACACUGUGAUGAGUGCAUAGUUCAUCUGAGCAAUCGUUGAUGUUAGAGCAUACCCAUCAUGUCUUUCGCUCCUAUCUGACUUUUCAU